rnacentral:rRNA from 1 species
GACGAACGCUGGCGGCGUGCUUAACACAUGCAAGUCGAACGGAAAGGCCCUGCUUUUGUGGGGUGCUCGAGUGGCGAACGGGUGAGUAACACGUGAGUAACCUGCCCUUGACUUUGGGAUAACUUCAGGAAACUGGGGCUAAUACCGGAUAGGAGCUCCUGCUGCAUGGUGGGGGUUGGAAAGUUUCGGCGGUUGGGGAUGGGCUCGCGGAUUAUCAGCUUGUUGGUGGGGUAGUGGCCUACCAAGGCUUUGACGGGUAGCCGGCCUGAGAGGGUGACCGGCAACAUUGGGACUGAGAAACGGCCUAGACUCCUACGGGAGGCAGGAGGGGGGAAUAAUGCAGCAUGGGCGGAAGGCUGAUGAAGCCACGCCGCGUGCGGAAUGACGGGCUUCGGGUUGUAAACCGCUUUCGCCUGUGACGAAGCGUGAGUGACGGUAAUGGGUAAAGAAGCACCGGCUAACUACG